rnacentral:rRNA from 1 species
GAACGCGAAGAACCUUACAGGUCUUGACAUCCUGCGCUACACCUAGAGAUAGGUGGUUCCCUUCGGGGACGCAGAGACAGGUGGUGCAUGGCUGUCGUCAGCUCGUGUCGUGAGAUGUUGGGUUAAGUCCCGCAACGAGCGCAACCCUUGUCUUUAGUUGCCAUCAUUAAGUUGGGCACUCUAAAGAGACUGCCGGUGACAAACCGGAGGAAGGUGGGGAUGACGUCAAGUCAUCAUGCCCCUUAUGACCUGGGCUACACACGUGCUACAAUGGGCAGUACAACGAGAAGCGAACCCGCGAGGGUAAGCGGAUCUCUUAAAGCUGUUCUCAGUUCGGACUGCAGGCUGCAACUCGCCCGCACGAAGCUGGAAUCGCUAGUAAUCGCGGAUCAGCACGCCGCGGUGAAUACGUUCCCGGGUCUUGUACACACC